rnacentral:rRNA from 1 species
UACGUAGGGUGCGAGCGUUAAUCGGAAUUACUGGGCGUAAAGCGUGCGCAGGCGGACUGUUAAGCAAGACGUGAAAUCCCCGGGCUUAACCUGGGAAUGGCGUUUUGAACUGGCAGUCUAGAGUGUGUCAGAGGGGGGUAGAAUUCCACGUGUAGCAGUGAAAUGCGUAGAGAUGUGGAGGAAUACCAAUGGCGAAGGCAGCCCCCUGGGAUAACACUGACGCUCAUGUACGAAAGCGUGGGUAGCAAACAGG